GUAUCCUGUCCCCGUCUAAGGAUAAAGAGAACCAAAUGUUGGUGAUCCCAGUAGCAGAAUGGCCCUGUUGAGGUCAGAGGAGUCCUUAUGUCAUUCAUUGUAGAGAGACAUGCUGUAAAUUCUCCUACAUAAUUAAAUCUGUGACUUGUGGACAGGCAGUGCUCUCGGAGCAGGCCAGCGAUAAGACAGUCCAGCUGUAUGUAAUA